CCAAUAGCGUAUAUUAAAGUUGUUGCAGUUAAAAAGCUCGUAGUUGAAUUUCGGGACCAGUAGGUUGGUCGUGCCUACGGUACGUACUGGCUUCACUGGUUCCUCCCUUCUGACAAACCAUGAUGCCAUUAAUUUGGUGUUGUGGGGAAUCAGGACUGUUACUGUGAAAAAAUUAGGGUGUUUAAAGCAGGCUUAAGCUUGAAUACAUUAGCAUGGAAUAAUGAAAUAGGACGUUUGAUCUUAUUUUGUUGGUUUCUAAGAUCGACGUAAUGAUUAAUAGGGAUAGUUGGGGGCAUUAGUAUUCAAUUGUCAGAGGUGAAAUUCUUGGAUUUAUUGAAGACUAACUACUGCGAAAGCAUUUGCCAAGGAUGUUUUCAUUAAUCAAGAACGAAAGUUAGGGGAUCGAAGACGAUCAGAUACCGUCGUAGUCUUAACCAUAAACUAUGCCGACUAGGGAUUGGACGAUGUUAAUUUUUUAAUGACUCGUUCAGCACCUUACG
rnacentral:rRNA from 1 species